GUGCUCGCUUCAGCAGCACACAUAUUCAAGUGGAAGGAUACAGAGAAGACUAGCAUGGCCCCUGCGCAAGGAUGAUACCCAAAUUCUUGAAUCGCUUGGCAGCAAG